UUUCCCGCCACAGCGGACGCAGAGGUGGCCUCUCAGGAGGAGCUGGCUUCCCGCUCUGUGGUGUAGAGGUUGGACGCGUCUGGGGGAGGCGUUGACGGCAAGAACAGGACAUCUGAAAGCAAGAAGUGAGACUUCCAUUAUGGCUUUGGGGACUGCUGAUAGUUGGUGCAGGAAAUGAAUUCCAUGAGUACUUCCUUCCUGUCAGGACUGAGAACAAGCAGCCCUAGAGAGCUGCCUCUUCAACUCGACAUUGUGGAGAAGGUUCUUUUUCGUUUCCUGCUUGCUGAACUAUUUUUAAGGAGACUUGGGCAUUGUUCAUCUUCACUUCCUUGUAAACAUCUCUGCCACCUAGUGGACUAUAUGAUAUCUUUCAGGUUGACUCAUUAGUCACACUGAACACCAUCGUUUACCAAAUUGUGCUUCGGAACAUUUUGUCUCCCUGAGAAGCAGUCUCUUAGGAGAAUUCUGCAAAUGGGUGGGAUCCUAGCUAAGACCAUAUGGACCCAAGUAUACUCUGAAAUCAAGCCCCCUCAAGAGAAGUGGCUACUGGUAUAAAGGCUUUCCAAGUGAGAAUUUUUUUCUUAUGUUUUAGAGUCUGCCCUAGAGAACUGAUUCUGCAUUGAGGUUAGAAGAAUGUCAUCUUAAUUGGGAAACUGUGGGCCCCACCAUAAACUAUUUAUAAUCCUGAUUUAUCUCUGAGCCGCUGGAGGUGGUGGUGGUGGGGGGAAGUUCCCUUGGAUAGUUUGACUAUCUUGGUUCACAA